rnacentral:rRNA from 1 species
GACGAACGCUGGCGGCGUGCUUAACACAUGCAAGUCGAACGGAAAGGCCCUUUCGGGGGUACUCGAGUGGCGAACGGGUGAGUAACACGUGGGUGAUCUGCCCUGCACUCUGGGAUAAGCCUGGGAAACUGGGUCUAAUACUGGAUAGGACCAUGGGAUGCAUGUUCUGUGGUGGAAAGCUUUUGCGGUGUGGGAUGGGCCCGCGGCCUAUCAGCUUGUUGGUGGGGUGAUGGCCUACCAAGGCGACGACGGGUAGCCGGCCUGAGAGGGUGUCCGGCCACACUGGGACUGAGAUACGGCCCAGACUCCUACGGGAGGCAGCAGUGGGGAAUAUUGCACAAUGGGCGCAAGCCUGAUGCAGCGACGCCGCGUGGGGGAUGACGGCCUUCGGGUUGUAAACCUCUUUCAGUAUCGGCGAAGCUUGCGGGUUUUCUCGCAGGUGACGGUAGGUACAGAAGAAGCACCGGCCAACUACGUGC